CCUAAGGUAGCGAAAUUCCUUGUCAGGUAAGUUCUGACCCGCACGAAUGGCGUAAUGAUUUGGGCACUGUCUCAACAGCCCGCCCGGCGAAAUUGUAGUACUGGUGAAGAUGCCAGUUACCCGCAACUAGACGGAAAGACCCCAUGGAGCUUUACUGCAGCUUAAUACUGGAAAUCGGUAAUUCAUGUACAGGAUAGGUGGGAGACAGAGAAGCAUGGUCGUCAGGUCAUGUGGAGUCGCCCUUGGGAUACCACUCUUGGAUUGCUGGUUUUCUAACCUGCGGCCGUGAAUCCGGUCGGGGGACACUGUUAGGCGGGCAGUUUGACUGGGGCGGUCGCCUCCAAAAGAGUAACGGAGGCGCUCAAAGGUUGGCUCAGCACGGACGGAAAUCGUGCACAGAGUGCAAACGCAUAAGCCAACUUGACUGCGAGACCGACGGGUCGAGCAGGUACGAAAGUAGGAGUUAGUGAUCCGGUGGUAUGUGAGUGGAAAUGCCAUCGCUCAACGGAUAAAAGCUACCCUGGGGAUAACAGGCUGAUCUCCCCCAAGCGUCCACAGCGACGGGGAGGUUUGGCACCUCGAUGUCGGCUCGUCACAUCCUGGGGCUGAAUUCGGUCCCAAGGGUUCGGCUGUUCGCCGAUUAAAGUGGCACGCGAGCUGGGUUCAGAACGUCGUGAGACAGUUCGGUCCCUAUCUGUUGCGGGCGUAGGAGAUUUGAAGGGAGCUGUCCUUAGUACGAGAGGACCGGGAUGGACAUACCUCUGGUGUACCAGUUGUUCUGCCAAGGGCACGGCUGGGUAGCUACGUAUGGACGAGAUAAACGCUGAAAGCAUCUAAGCGUGAAACUCCCCCUGAGAUAAGAUCUCCCCUCCCUCGAGGAGUAAGGCUCGACGUAGACUAUGUCGUUGAUAGGUCAGGGGUGUAAGCGUCGCAAGGCGUUAAGCUGACUGAUACUAAUAAGCCGAAAGCUUGACCUA
rnacentral:rRNA from 1 species